GAUGAACGCUGGCGGCGUGCCUAAUACAUGCAAGUCGAGCGAACGGACGAGAAGCUUGCUUUUCUGAUGUUAGCGGCGGACGGGUGAGUAACACGUGGAUAACCUACCUAUAAGACUGGGAUAACUUCGGGAAACCGGAGCUAAUACCGGAUAAUAUUUUGAACCGCAUGGUUCAAAAGUGAAAGACGGUCUUGCUGUCACUUAUAGAUGGAUCCGCGCUGCAUUAGCUAGUUGGUAAGGUAACGGCUUACCAAGGCAACGAUGCAUAGCCGACCUGAGAGGGUGAUCGGCCACACUGGAACUGAGACACGGUCCAGACUCCUACGGGAGGCAGCAGUAGGGAAUCUUCCGCAUUGGGCGAAAGCCUGACGGAGCAACGCCGCGUGAGUGAUGAAGGUCUUCGGAUCGUAAAACUCUGUUAUUAGGGAAGAACAUAUGUGUAAGUAGCUGUGCACAUCUUGACGGUACCUAAUCAGAAAGCCACGGCUAACUACGUG
rnacentral:rRNA from 1 species